UCCUCCGUGGCGCAAUUGGCUAGCGCGUCUGACUGUUAUAACAGUGUGUUAUCCGAUAAUCCGCUUGAGCAAAUCAGGAGGUUGAAAGUUCGAGCCUUUCCGGGGGGAG
rnacentral:tRNA from 1 species